CCUACGGGAGGCAGCAGUGAGGAAUAUUUGUCAAUGGGCGCGAGCCUGAACCAGCCAAGUAGCGUGAAGGAUGACUGCCCUACGGGUUGUAAACUUCUUUUAUGAAGGAAUAAAGUGGGGCACGUGUGCCUUUUUGUAUGGACUUUAUGAAUAAGGAACGGCUAACCCCGUGCCAGCAGCCGCGGUAAUACGGAGGGUACGUGCGUUAUGCGGAUUUAUUGGGUUUAAAGGGAGCGUAGAUGGGUUGUUAAGUCAGGUGUGAAAGUUUGCGGCUCAACCGUGAAAUUGCAAUUGAUACUGGCAGUCUUGAGUGCAGUUGAGGUCGGCGGAAUUCGUGGUGUAGCGGUGAAAUGCUUAGAUAUCACGAAGAACUCCGAUUGCGAAGGCAGCUUACUAAACUGCCACUGACAUUGAUGCUCGAAAGUGUGGGUAGCAAACAGGAUUAGAUACCCGAGUAGUC
rnacentral:rRNA from 1 species